rnacentral:lncRNA from 1 species
AAAAAUUCAGCAAAAAAAAGAAGCUCAACAAACCGAGACCUAACUUGUACAUUCUAUAUCAAAAGUUGUACAUAGCAGCAUUUAGGAAUUUAUUCCUUAACUUGUGCGUGCCCUAAUUCCCGUUCUCUCUCUUUUUCGCACGCACAAGCACAACCCUGAAAUCCCAGCCACCUUCCCCACGACACCCACCGGCGUCCAAGCCCCAGCGACUGUCGUCCCAUGCCAUCCACCACCGUCAAGCCCCAUACUCCAUCGCCCACGC